CCCUUAGAUGUUCUGGGCUGCACGCGCGCGACAAUGACGUUUGCAACGAGAUUGCGAGGCCGUCAGGUCGAGCUGAUCUUGCAAGCUGCGUCGUGAUAGGGACAGUCGAUUGCAAUUAUUCGACUCGAACGAGGAAUUCCUUGUAAUCGCGCAUCAUCAGUGCGCGCUGAAUACGUCCCUGCCCUUUGUACACACCGCCCGUCGCUACUGCCAACUGAGAUGGGUCCUGAAUUGUUAGGAACGCCCGUCAAGGGGCCUACCCGGUCCCUAGUGCGGUGACGAGAAUAACUGUAAAUGGCAUAUCUUGUAGGGAGUAAAAGUCGUAACA
rnacentral:rRNA from 1 species